UACGGGGGGGGGCAAGCGUUGUUCGGAAUUACUGGGCGUAAAGGGCGCGUAGGCGGCCUACUAAGUCGGACGUGAAAUCCCUCGGCUCAACCGGGGAACUGCGUCCGAUACUGGUGGGCUUGAAUCCGGGAGAGGGAUGUGGAAUUCCAGGUGUAGCGGUGAAAUGCGUAGAUAUCUGGAGGAACACCGAUGGCGAAGGCAGCUGCCUGGCCUAGAACUGACGCUGAGGUGCGAAAGCGUGGGGAGCGAACGGGG
rnacentral:rRNA from 1 species